GGUUAAGCUGUCAAAUUCAUUGUGUUUGUUUCUUUCUUUUAGCUCAUUCACAACUGAAUCUGUCAUGUUGUUAGUGGUAGUCCUUGUAAAGAAAGUUGUUUCUUUAUCAACUAUAGCAACUCGAAAGCGAUAUUCUAUCUUCAUUUCCAGGGCCGGGAUGCAAUACCGAAAAUGACUCGACUAUCACUUAUUGUGGUUUUACGCACCCAAUCUUCGCUAUUUGACUUGUGGGCCGCAAUGGCGCAUCGUGAGCAAACCGCAGUGAGGGUGACCAAACAAGAUGGUAUGAAUAGGUUCAUUGUCUCUUAUCACAUUUUCUUCCAUUUGUUAUUUUUGGUUCUUGACAAGUCUUUGUCACAACAGAGUCACGUACUACUCCCAUUGCAUCAUGUACAACUUGUUAUGCUAUAAUUAAUCUGAUAUCUGUUAGAAGAAAAAAAAAAGGAUUUAGCUUA